AGCAGCCGCGGUAAUUCCAGCUCCAAUAGCGUAUAUUAAAGUUGCUGCAGUUAAAAAGCUCGUAGUUGAAUUUCGGGACCAUCAUGUCGGUCGUGCCUCGGUACGUACUGGCAUUGUUGGUUUCUCCCUUCUGACGAACCAUGAUGUCAUUUAUUUGGUGUUGUGGGAAAUCAGGACUGUUACUUUGAAAAAUUAGAGUGUUUAAAGCAGGCUCACGCUUGGAUACAUUAGCAUGGAAUAAUGAAAUAGGACGUUUGAUUCUAUUUUGUUGGUUUCUAGGAUCGACGUAAUGAUUAAUAGGGAUAGUUGGGGGCAUUAGUAUUCAAUUGUCAGAGGUGAAAUUCUUGGAUUUAUUGAAGACUAACUACUGCGAAAGCAUUUGCCAAGGAUGUUUUCAUUAAUCAAGAACGAAAGUUAGGGGAUCGAAGACGAUCAGAUACCGUCGUAGUC
rnacentral:rRNA from 1 species